rnacentral:rRNA from 1 species
UGAGCAAUCUGCCCUUCUCUUCGGAAUAAGCGUGGGAAACCGCGUCUAAUGCCGAAUACGACCUCCUUUCGCAUGAUCGGAGGUGGAAAGCUCCGGCGGAGAAGGAUGAGCUCGCGGCCUAUCAGCUAGUUGGUGUGGGUAACGCCCACAAGGCGACGACGGGUAGCCGGCCUGAGAGGGUGACCGGCCACACUGGGACUGAGACACGGCCCAGACUCCGUACGGGAGCAGCAGG